UACGGGGGGAGCAAGCGUUGUUCGGAUUUACUGGGCGUAAAGGGCGCGUAGGCGGCGUGACAAGUCACUUGUGAAAUCUCCGGGCUUAACUCGGAACGGUCAAGUGAUACUGUCGUGCUAGAGUACAGAAGGGGCAACUGGAAUUCUCGGUGUAGCGGUGAAAUGCGUAGAUAUCGAGAGAAACACCUGCGGCGAAGGCGGGUUGCUGGGCUGAUACUGACGCUGAGGCGCGAAAGCCAGGGGAGCGAACGGG
rnacentral:rRNA from 1 species